UUUGCUUUUUUGAUUUCAAAUUUAUAAUAAUAAAAUAUUCCAUAAUAAUAAUAUUCUAUAUGGUGAAGGCAGAGAAAGAAGAGGUAAAACCGGCCGCUCGCACAGAGAAAGCUGGAGAAGCCAUCACCAGCCAUUGCCAAGGUGCUGGGUUGGGAUUUCCGGAAUAUCGAGAGUUGGAGCUGAGCAGAAUGCGUAGGGAAGAUCCUUCCCACUACAAGUAUACACAACAAAAGACACGUUUAACAUUCAUAUUACAUUUUUUUAAUUCCUAUACACCAAUAAAUUGUAUUUGUAUUUUUA